rnacentral:rRNA from 1 species
AGCAUGUGGUUUAAUUCGAAGCAACGCGAAGAACCUUACCAGGUCUUGACAUCCCGAUGCUAUUUCUAGAGAUAGAAAGUUACUUCGGUACAUCGGUGACAGGUGGUGCAUGGUUGUCGUCAGCUCGUGUCGUGAGAUGUUGGGUUAAGUCCCGCAACGAGCGCAACCCCUAUUGUUAGCUGCCAUCAUUCAGUUGGGCACUCUAGCGAGACUGCCGGUAAUAAACCGGAGGAAGGUGGGAUGACGUCAAAUCAUCAUGCCCCUUAUGACCUGGGCUACACACGUGCUACAAUGGUUGGUACAACGAGUUGCGAGUCGGUGACGGCGAGCUAAUCUCUUAAAGCCAAUCUCAGUUCGGAUUGUAGGCUGCAACUCGCCUACAUGAAGUCGGAAUCGCUAGUAAUCGCGGAUCAGCACGCCGCGGUGAAUACGUUCCCGGGCCUU